GCUCAGGAUGAACGCUAGCUACAGGCUUAACACAUGCAAGUCGAGGGGUAGCAGGGUAGCAAUACCGCUGACGACCGGCGCACGGGUGAGUAACACGUAUCCAACCUUCCCAUAACUCGGGGAUAGCCUUUCGAAAGAAAGAUUAAUACCCGAUAGUACUUAAGAGAGGCAUCUUUUUUAAGUUAAAGAUUUAUUGGUUAUGGAUGGGGAUGCGUUCCAUUAGAUAGUUGGUGAGGUAACGGCUCACCAAGUCUUCGAUGGAUAGGGGUUCUGAGAGGAAGGUCCCCCACAUUGGUACUGAGACACGGACCAAACUCCUACGGGAGGCAGCAGUGAGGAAUAUUGGUCAAUGGGCGAGAGCCUGAACCAGCCAAGUAGCGUGA
rnacentral:rRNA from 1 species